AGAGCGAACGCUGGCGGCAGGCCUAACACAUGCAAGUCGAACGGAUCCUUCGGGAUCAGUGGCGGACGGGUGAGUAACACGUGGGAACGUGCCCUUUGGUUCGGAACAACACAGGGAAACUUGUGCUAAUACCGGAUGUGCCCUUCGGGGGAAAGAUUUAUCGCCAUUGGAGCGGCCCGCGUCUGAUUAGCUAGUUGGUGAGGUAAAGGCUCACCAAGGCUACGAUCAGUAGCUGGUCUGAGAGGAUGAUCAGCCACACUGGGACUGAGACACGGCCCAGACUCCUACGGGAGGCAGCAGUGGGGAAUCUUGCGCAAUGGGCGAAAGCCUGACGCAGCCAUGCCGCGUGGAUGAUGAAGGUCUUAGGAUUGUAAAAUCCUUUCAGCGGGGACGAUAAUGACGGUACCCGCAGAAGAAGCCCCGGCUAACUUCGUGCCAGCAGCCGCGGUAAUACGAAGGGGGCUAGCGUUGCUCGGAUUUACUGGGCGUAAAGGGCGCGUAGGCGGAUUUCUAAGUCGGGGGUGAAAGCCCGGGGCUCAACCUCGGAAUUGCCUUCGAUACUGGAAGUCUUGAGUACGGGAGAGGUGAGUGGAACUCCGAGUGUAGAGGUGAAAUUCGUAGAUAUUCGGAAGAACACCAGUGGCGAAGGCGACUCACUGGCCCCGUUACUGACGCUGAGGCGCGAAAGCGUGGGGAGCAAACAGGAUUAGAUACCCUGGGUAGUCCACGCUGUAAACGAUGAGUGCUAGUUGUCGGGCGGCAUGCCGUUCGGUGACGCAGCUAACGCAUUAAGCACUCCGCCUGGGGGAGUACGGUCGCAAGAUUAAA
rnacentral:rRNA from 1 species